rnacentral:lncRNA from 1 species
CCGAAAUUAGUAGAAACUUUCCAUACAUUAAUGCAGUUCAAAUAUAUCUUAUUUACAGUAAAAGCAAGAAAGCACAGAUUAGUCAAGUAAAGAAACAACAGAGACAAAUUCUACUAGCCAUGCUAUAUCACAACAAAAAGCAUUAAAAGGCCUCAUGCAUCAUUUCUUAUCCUAACCAGUAUGAUAGCAUAUGUGGAAAUAUGAAACAAAUGAAAACACCAGGUUGGUAUUAUAUUGUUUC